AGCACUUAUGUCUGUAUUUGUCUGAUUUGUGAAUUAAGACUUACAGACAAGUGCACAAAAUACACGCUCUUCUGCAAGCCAGAACUCACCGUUUACUGUGAGUUUUGAUACAUGUAAGAAGGAGUAUA
ensembl:snoRNA